GAUGCCCAGCUAAGUUUAAAUUUCAGAUAAACCACAAAUGAUUUUUUAGCAUAAGUAUGUCCCAUGCAAUAUUUGGGACAGACUUAUACUAAAAAGUGAUUUGUUGUUUAUCUGUAACUUAACUAGGUUUGUAUUUU
rnacentral:miRNA from 1 species